GAAGGACCUGGCUGCUUAGGAGCAGGAUACCGGGCAUAGAACAGUGCUGGGGCAAACGGAGCUGGGGAGCUCCAGCCUGGUAAACCCCCAGGCUGCAGGCCCUGGUGAAGGCCUAUGAAGAGCUGAAGAAGGAUACCUUGCUAGCUCUGUGCCAGCUGGUUGUUUUGACUCGGAACACCUAUUCUGCACAGCAUAUGCAGUAGUGACAGGUGCACUUGCUGUUUUACAAGGUGUGUGGAGAGACUUUCAUUCCAUAAAGAUGAAUGGACACCUCUUGCUCAGGCAACACAUUACACCAGAUCACGUGGUUGCUAGCUGCUUUCCUGAUGAACAGCAGCCCAUGGGUAAAGGAGAGCAGGAAUGCAUGGAGGGGAUAUUUCAGCUCUGGUGGGUGAACUUAUUCACUGGUUUCCUCCAUAUGCUCCUGCCUGUACUAAACCCAGCAUGCCAAGUAAUUAACCUCAUCGACUACUCUGGAAUACAGGUUGUGCAUCACGGAGAUCAAAUCAAAUGUCUGAUUUUUUUUUUCAGUGGGGGACCAUAGACAAAGAGAGGAGAGGGACCAUCUCAUCUCUUGUCUGCCUUCUAUUUUCGCACCUGAAAUAACACACAUUGCAUUGUGGCUGACUGGCUGUGUGUGCACCACAGGCUUUGCUGUGGCUCUGUCUUUCUCUCACUCUACUUUUUAAAUGUAGGUUUCAAUGUUGCUGCUGCUGCUCUUCUUCCUUUUGGAAGACACUGGCUGUUGAACUGAUGCAUCACUUCUUUUCCUUUUCCUUCACAUGGCAAUUUUAGCACAUGGGUGCCUGUUCAUUGCAAGUACAAGAGCCAAAAUGGAGUAUUCACAAACCCUAAGGAAAAAUGUCUUAUUAGUCAAUGAUUUUUUGAAAUU